GACGAACGCUGGCGGCGUGCCUAAUACAUGCAAGUAGAACGCACAGUUUAUACCGUAGCUUGCUACACCAUAGACUGUGAGUUGCGAACGGGUGAGUAACGCGUAGGUAACCUGCCUGGUAGCGGGGGAUAACUAUUGGAAACGAUAGCUAAUACCGCAUAAUAUUGAUUAUUGCAUGAUAAUUGAUUGAAAGAUGCUAUUGCAUCACUACCAGAUGGACCUGCGUUGUAUUAGCUAGUAGGUGAGGUAACGGCUCACCUAGGCGACGAUACAUAGCCGACCUGCGAGGGUGAUCGGCCACACUGGGACUGAGACACGGCCCAGACUCCUACGGGAGGCAGCAGUAGGGAAUCUUCGGCAAUGGACGAAAGUCUGACCGAGCAACGCCGCGUGAGUGAAGAAGGUUUUCGGAUCGUAAAGCUCUGUUGUAAGAGAAGAACGGGUGUGAGAGUGGAAAGUUCACACUGUGACGGUAUCUGACCAGAAAGGGACGGCUAACUACGUG
rnacentral:rRNA from 1 species